CCCAGCCGGGCUUGCAGCCGGCGGACGAGCAGGACGAGCGGGAGGAGCGGGAGGAGCAGGAGGAGCGGGCACCCCGCCGCCCCACGUGCGCCCCGCCGUCCGGCGCCAUGGCGCGCAGGGCCCCGAGCGCCCGCGAGUCCCGGUAGCCGGCGGCGACCUCGGCCCCAUGGAGCCGCACGUGCUCGGCGCCGCGCUCUACUGGCUGCUGCUGCCUGGCUCGCUGCUGGCCGCCGCCCUGCUGCGCGUGAAUGCACUCUCGCUGGUCUACCUGCUGCUCCUGCUGCUCCUGCCAUGGCUACCCGGCCCCGCGAGGCACAGCGUGCGAGGUAAGGGGGCGUGGGGCACUUGGGGGAGGAGCACGUACACCAAGACUCGGUUUCCUUUCUUGCCGGAGACUCAGCUGUUUCUGAAUCCUUCCUGUCAUUCCCGGGCUGUGUGCAGGGACAGGAAGGGUCGUGUCUGGGGCCUCAACCUCACCAACGGCCCUGAGGAGCCACAGUGAGUGUGCAGGCCCAGUGUCCCAUCCCCGGGCGGGAAGCAUCUUAUUCCUCUGUGUGCCAAGCCCACAGGGUGGGAGGCGCCACGGGGCUAUGGCCACAUCCUGGUGGCAGCAAGGGUCACGGCCUCCUCCCUGUGGGCUUGGGCGUGGACAGGCUGCCGCCCUCCAGGCUCCUCAUGUGGGGUGGGGAGAGGCACGGUCAGGUUGACUGGCCACGGCAGCAAGGGCAGAACUUCUGGAGAGGACCCUGGCCUCUGGUCACCUGUGCUUCGGUAGCCAGCGUCUGUUUUGUGCCUUCCAGAGACCGCCAGUGCUCCAGGUUGCCCCUGAGGCUGCCCCGUGCUCCCAGGAGGUGCUGCUGUGACUGACUGGUCAUGUGACUCCCACUGGUCCUGGAGUUGGACCUUAGCGGCUAGGGUGGGCAGGGCCGCACUCGGGAGGCUCUGGGACUGGUUUCCUUGUCUCGGCUGCUGGCUGCUGGGGGCUCUCGCUGUCCUCGGCGCCUGGGCCUGUCCCACAGAACCCGUAAGGGCCGGCUGCUGUCCCCUGGAACGUGUGCUCCUUCUGUGAGGCUGUGGGCAGCCUCAGCCCACUGCACCCUAAGCCCAUCAGAGGCCCAUGGGGCCCGGAGAUUGGGCCGGAGAUGCCUCGGACCCAUCACUGAGUGGGGAAGACAGGCACCCUCCCGGCCUCAUGCGGAGGCCCUGCCCUCCCAGCUCAGAGGCUUUGGAACCAGCACUGGCCUCAGGGUGUGGGUAGCCUUCUGGGGUUCUGGGAACAGUGAGGGGAUUUUGUUGGGCUUGGCUCAAGCAAGUGCUGGAGCCACUGGGACCCAGGAAAGGACCCCCAGGACAUGUGGCUGGGGUGUGCAGGGCCGAGGCCCAGCCCAGCAGGAAGCCAUCAGCCUGUGGAUGUUGGGGCCUCAAACCCCUGGGUGUCCCCCAUCCCAUGUGGGGAGUGUGGGUCCUGGCCAGGUAGAGGAGGGUGGCAGUGGGAGAUGGCUGCCUGACCCUCUGUCUGCCCAUCUGUCCUGCUCAGAGGCCCUUCAGGGACAGACACUGCCCGGUUUUUCCAGGCAGAGAGAGGAAAAUGUGAG
ensembl:lncRNA